rnacentral:rRNA from 1 species
AAAGACGGUCUUGCUGUCACUUAUAGAUGGAUCCGCGCUGCAUUAGCUAGUUGGUAAGGUAACGGCUUACCAAGGCAACGAUGCAUAGCCGACCUGAGAGGGUGAUCGGCCACACUGGAACUGAGACACGGUCCAGACUCCUACGGGAGGCAGCAGUAGGGAAUCUUCCGCAAUGGGCGAAAGCCUGACGGAGCAACGCCGCGUGAGUGAUGAAGGUCUUCGGAUCGUAAAACUCUGUUAUUAGGGAAGAACAUAUGUGUAAGUAACUGUGCACAUCUUGACGGUACCUAAUCAGAAAGCCACGGCUAACUACGUGCCAGCAGCCGCGGUAAUACGUAGGUGGCAAGCGUUAUCCGGAAUUAUUGGGCGUAAAGCGCGCGUAGGCGGUUUUUUAAGUCUGAUGUGAAAGCCCACGGCUCAACCGUGGAGGGUCAUUGGAAACUGGAAAACUUGAGUGCAGAAGAGGAAAGUGGAAUUCCAUGUGUAGCGGUGAAAUGCGCAGAGAUAUGGAGGAACACCAGUGGCGAAGGCGACUUUCUGGUCUGUAACUGACGCUGAUGUGCGAAAGCGUGGGGAUCAAACAGGAUUAGAUACCCUGGUAGUCCACGCCGUAAACGAUGAGUGCUAAGUGUUAGGGGGUUUCCGCCCCUUAGUGCUGCAGCUAACGCAUUAAGCACUCCGCCUGGGGAGUACGACCGCAAGGUUGAAACUCAAAGGAAUUGACGGGGACCCGCACAAGCGGUGGAGCAUGUGGUUUAAUUCGAAGCAACGCGAAGAACCUUACCAAAUCUUGACAUCCUUUGACAACUCUAGAGAUAGAGCCUUCCCCUUCGGGGGACAAAGUGACAGGUGGUGCAUGGUUGUCGUCAGCUCGUGUCAUGAGAUGUUGGGUUAAGUCCCGCAACGAGCGCAACCCUUAAGCUUAGUUGCCAUCAUUAAGUUGGGCACUCUAAGUUGACUGCCGGUGACAAACCGGAGGAAGGUGGGGAUGACGUCAAAUCAUCAUGCCCCUUAUGAUUUGGGCUACACACGUGCUACAAUGGACAAUACAAAGGGCAGCGAAACCGCGAGGUCAAGCAAAUCCCAUAAAGUUGUUCUCAGUUCGGAUUGUAGUCUGCAACUCGACUACAUGAAGCUGGAAUCGCUAGUAAUCGUAGAUCAGCAUGCUACGGUGAAUACGUUCCCGGGUCUUGUACACACCGCCCGUCACACCACGAGAGUUUGUAACACCCGAAGCCGGUGGAGUAACCUUUUAGGAGCUAGCCGUCGAAGGUGGGACAAAUGAUUGGGGUGAAGUCGUAACAAGGUAGCCGUAUCGGAAGGUGCGGCUGGAUCACCU